rnacentral:rRNA from 1 species
CUAAGUGGGAAAGCAUGUGGGAUUUCCAAAACAACCAGGAGGUUGGCUUAGAAGCAGCCAUCCUUUAAAGAAAGCGUAACAGCUCACUGGUCUAAAUAAGAGAUCCUGCGGCGAAGAUGUAACGGGGCUAAAGUGAUGCACCGAAGCUUAGGGUUCAGUCUUUGACUGAGCGGUAGCGGAGCGUUCCGUAGGCCGUUGAAGCGGAAGGGUAACCGACCGUGGAGGUAUCGGAAGUGCGAAUGCAGACAUGAGUAGCGAUUAAGAGGGUGAGAUGCCCUCUCGCCGAAAUUCCAAGGGUUCCUGCUUAAAGCUAAUCUGAGCAGGGUAAGCCGGCCCCUAAGACGAGCCCGAAGGGGGUAGUCGAUGGGAACCACGUUAAUAUUCGUGGGCCUGGUGGUGUGUGACGGAUGCCGUAAAUUGUUCGGGCUUAUUGGAUUGCUCCGGGCAGUGAAGGGGUCCCAGGAAAUAGCCCCACCGUAUAGACCGUACCCUAAACCGACACAGGUGGAAUGGUAGAGUAUACCAAGGCGUUUGAGAGAAGUAUCCUGAAGGAACUCGGCAAAUUGCCUCCGUACCUUCGGAAGAAGGAGGCCCCAUCUCAAGGCAACUUUUGAUGGGGGGCACAGGCCAGGGGGUAGCGACUGUUUAGCAAAAACACAGGGCUCUGCUAAGUCGGCUUCAAGACGACGUAUAGGGCCUGACGCCUGCCCGGUGCCUGAAGGUUAAGAGGAGGAGUGCAAGCUCUGAAUUGAAGCCCAGGUAAACGGCGGCCGUAACUAUAACGGUCCUAAGGUAGCGAAAUUCCUUGUCGGGUAAGUUCCGACCUGCACGAAUGGCGUAACGACUUCCCCACUGUCUCCAGGAUAUGCUCAGCGAAAUUGAAUUCUCCGUGAAGAUGCGGAGUACCCGCGGUUAGACGGAAAGACCCCGUGCACCUUUACUGCAGCUUCAGAGUGGCAUUAGGAAAGAACUGUGUAGCAUAGGUGGGAGGCUUUGAAGCAUUGACGCCAGUUGAUGUGGAGCCAUAGGUGAAAUACCACCCUGUUGUUUUCUGAUGUCUAACCUCGCACCGUUAUCCGGUGCAGGGACCCUCUGUGGCGGGUAGUUUGACUGGGGCGGUCGCCUCCUAAAGAGUAACGGAGGCGCGCGAUGGUGGGCUCAGGACGGUUGGAAACCGUCUGUUAGAGUGCAAUGGCAUAAGCCCGCCUGACUGCGAGACUGACAAGUCGAGCAGAGACGAAAGUCGGUCAUAGUGAUCCGGUGGUCCCUCGUGGAAGGGCCAUCGCUCAACGGAUAAAAGGUACGCCGGGGAUAACAGGCUGAUGAUUCCCAAGAGCU